CGGGGACCGGCAGAACACAGGCAGUGCACGGCCGGCCGGCCGACCACGGUCCUGCUUCUCGGCUGACUCCACGCUUGCAGCCAAACUCGCAGCAUUAUUAAGAAUUUGGAAAGGUCACAGGGAAUUCUCUCACUACCCAUAGAGGGACUGCUGAAGCAUCUGAAAGCACCUGAUUCACUUAAAACAACAAGAUAAAACCUGAGCUGUUACAACAUGUCUAAAACUCGACGGGGCUCAUGAAGCACACGCAGGCGAACCUUCUUCCUUUCUUCUGCCCACAGAGAAGCUCAGCUAUGUAAAAGCCACUGGAGUCAUGGUUUCAAGAAAAGAAAAUGGUUUGUGUUUUUCUUAUCAUGGUGGAAGGGAGACACACACGGCUUAACAGUUAACAGCAAGAAGGAGCCUUUCAAAGACUUCCCCCUCCUCCCCCAGCUAAUUUCAGGGGACUCUGUUCCAGUGGGCAUUGAACAUAUACUGGUGGGCUGCCGUCUACGGGACACGACUGAAGCGACUCAGCAGCAGCAGCACAUCCAGCAAACAGAUUCAUAGAUAAUAUCCAUAAGAUCUGGAAACUAAAGAGCAAAUUGAGAACAGCACUUGGUAGAGUGGAGACCAGGAAGCUAAAACUGGAAAAUGCCCCACAGAUGAUUCCAACGCCAACAGAAAGGACAGGGCGGGGCAGGAGCGGUCAGCCUCGGCACUACGACAGCGGGGCCAGACAACUUUGUGUCUGGGGCUGCGGGCGGUCCUGUGCACCGCGGGGCCUUCAGCUGCAUCUCUGGUCUCUACCCACCACGCACAUCUUCCUCUGCACCCCGAGUCGUGACAACAAAGAAGAUCUCCAGUUCUGACAUGGAGAAUGGACCCGUGGACACGGUCGGGGGAGAGGGCGGGCUGAAGCGAGACAGCAGCUCUGAAAUAGAUAUGUGACUGUGUGUGGAACAGUGAGCUGAAGCGGGGCUGCUGUAUCACAGGGAGCUCAGCCCAGUGCUCUAUGAGGGCCUGGGUGGGGUGGGAGUGAGUGAGAGGGAGACCCAAGAGAGAGG
ensembl:lncRNA